ACUCCUACGGGAGGCAGCAGUGGGGAAUAUUGCACAAUGGGCGCAAGCCUGAUGCAGCAACGCCGUGUGAGUGAAGAAGGUUUUCGGAUCGUAAAACUCUGUCCUAAGGGAAGAAAAAAUGACGGUACCUUAGGAGGAAGCCCCGGCUAACUACGUGCCAGCAGCCGCGGUAAUACGUAGGGGGCAAGCGUUAUCCGGAAUCACUGGGGCGUAAAGGGUGCGUAGGCGGCUUAGCAAGCCAGGGGUGAAAGGCAUUGGCUCAACCAAUGUAAGCCUUUGGAACUGUUAAGCUUGAGUGCAGGAGAGGUAAGUGGAAUUCCUAGUGUAGAGGUGAAAUUCGUAGAUAUUAGGAGGAACACCAGUGGCGAAGGCGACUUACUGGACUGUAACUGACGCUGAUGCACGAAAGCGUGGGUAGCGAACAGGAUUAGAUACCCUGGUAGGUCAGUC
rnacentral:rRNA from 1 species